GAUGAACGCUGGCGGCGUGCCUAAUACAUGCAAGUCGAGCGAACGGACGAGAAGCUUGCUUCUCUGAUGUUAGCGGCGGACGGGUGAGUAACACGUGGAUAACCUACCUAUAAGACUGGGAUAACUUCGGGAAACCGGAGCUAAUACCGGAUAAUAUUUUGAACCGCAUGGUUCAAAAGUGAAAGACGGUCUUGCUGUCACUUAUAGAUGGAUCCGCGCUGCAUUAGCUAGUUGGUAAGGUAACGGCUUACCAAGGCAACGAUGCAUAGCCGACCUGAGAGGGUGAUCGGCCACACUGGAACUGAGACACGGUCCAGACUCCUACGGGAGGCAGCAGUAGGGAAUCUACCGCAAUGGGCGAAAGCCUGACGGAGCAACGCCGCGUGAGUGAUGAAGGUCUUCGGAUCGUAAAACUCUGUUAUUAGGGAAGAACAUAUGUGUAAGUAACUGUGCACAUCUUGACGGUACCUAAUCAGAAAGCCACGGCUAACUACGUG
rnacentral:rRNA from 1 species